rnacentral:ncRNA from 2 species
AAGCGCGGGUAAACGGCGGG